UACGGGGGGAGCAAGCGUUGUUCGGAUUUGCUGGGCGUAAAGGGCGCGUAGGCGGCCACCGCAAGUCGGUUGUGAAAUCUCCGGGCUUAACCCGGAAAGGUCAAUCGAUACUGCGGGGCUAGAGUGCAGAAGGGGCAACUGGAAUUCUCGGUGUAGCGGUGAAAUGCGUAGAUAUCGAGAGGAACACCAGCGGCGAAGGCGGGUAGCUGGGCCAACACUGACGCUGAUGCGCGAAAGCUAGGGGAGCAAACGGG
rnacentral:rRNA from 1 species